UCUACAGGAUCUUAAACACUGUGCUGCUGCCACAUGAUGAGCUGAUUGGAUAACUGAAUGAAUGAAGUGUACAGAUGGCCCUGUGGAUAAAAUUCAGGGUAACACCUACCUGGGCAAAGGCACAGCAGCGUUAGAAAGGACAGCAGUGGGUCAAGUUUCUCCCAAGUUCGGCUCUCCAUUUCUCCGCAGCAAAAGUCCCUCUGUCCCUCUUUUCCUUCUGUUUUAAUGUCCUCGUUUCUUGGAGUCCUCCAACCUUGUUAUCUACAAAUAAUUUGCUUUCGGCGACAAGUGGCUCUCUUCCUGUGGGACUCCGCGCUGUUGAACAGGUCCGCUGCUCAGUGCGGGGAGCGGCAGUAAAAUAGAUACAGGUAUAUAUAAAUGUUUGAAUCCUCAGUGAAAAAGUCGACAGCGAGCCCCAAACUGUUAUCCACGCACUCAGAAACAAAUAAACUGCAGCUCUGUUCUAAUGGUGUAAUGUGUGUGUUUUUUUUCUUUAUCCUUGCAAGCCAGGAGAUACGAUAAAGCGGAGUUGAUAAGUGCAGUUACAGUGAGAGUAAAUGUUCCUGCGCUCUGUGGACGAGAGAAACGCUGCACCUGCCUACUGAGGCCACGCCCCCGAGUAGCUGACGACAUCAAAGUCCGCCUCUGCUACAGCAGACAGCUCCUGACUGCACCAGUCCUCUUGAGGGUAAUCCUCCAUCGUGCUGCCAUCCGACUCCAUCUCCUGAUAGAGGCCGCUGCUGUUUAUCAGCACAGGCUGGCAGCUCUGAGAGUCCCAGCCACCCUGGC